rnacentral:rRNA from 1 species
UGAACGCUGGCGGCGUGCCUAAUACAUGCAAGUCGAGCGAACAGACGAGGAGCUUGCUCCUCUGACGUUAGCGGCGGACGGGUGAGUAACACGUGGAUAACCUACCUAUAAGACUGGGAUAACUUCGGGAAACCGGAGCUAAUACCGGAUAAUAUAUUAAACCCCAGGGUUCAAUAGUGAAAGACGGUUUUGCUGUCACUUAUAGAUGGAUCCGCGCCUCAUUAGCUAGUUGGUAAGGUAACGGCUUACCACGGCGACGAUGCGUAGCCGACCUGAGAGGGUGAUCGGCCACACUGGAACUGAGACACGGUCCAGACUGCUACGGGAGGCAGCAGUAGGGAAUCUUCCGCAAUGGGCGAAAGCCUGACGGAGCAACGCCGCGUGAGUGAUGAAGGUCUUCGGAUCGUAAAGCUCUGUUAUUAGGGAAGAACAAAUGUGUAAGUAACUAUGCACGUCUUGACGGUACCUAAUCAGAAAGCCACGGCUAACUACGUG